CCAAAAUCCUGUUGUCAGGUUCCUUCCCCUUAAGGGUGGAUUGUUACAAGAUGCAAAUUAAAUUAUGAAAUACAGAAUGGAGCUGGAUCCAUGGAAAGGUCACUCAGCAAGAAGGAGGCACAGAAACCAACAAACAAGGGAGAUGAGGACCACAGAAACCCUGAUAUGUUCAACAUAGAAGAUAUUAAAAAGCUUUACCUAUCAGCAAGAGGAGCCAAGAGGACAUCAAUGUCACUCCACCAAAAAGUUCACUUUUGCCCUCAGGAGAUGGCAAUCCUACAGAGCAUCCCCCUUGACUACGGGCUGCCUGCAAAAGCUGUGCAAGAAACUUCAUUGGUCAGUUUAAGUGCAGGAUGUUUUGUGCACAGGUUUAAAUGGAAAAUCACUUCAACUUCAGGAGAGCAGGAUCUAGCUGAGAAAUCUCACAGUGCAAUACAUAAGAUAAAUUUUAUUAAUUAAAUCAAAUUCAAAAUGUAUAUUUUACCAUUUUAGGAUAAAGAAUAUUUCCUAAAAUGUCAAUAAUGGUUAAAAAGAAAUUGCUUGUUGCUUUAUUAAACCAUCUGAGUUAAUUUCUAGUGGCUGCUUAUUUUAAGAAAGUAAGAAAGAAUCAGCAGCAUCAUAAAACCACAGAUUCUGUUUCUUAUAUUUUCUACUCAUAAAAAAGGGGAAAAGCAAAAUGUGAAAGAGCUUAGAGCUAAAGGUAUUUGGUUUGAGGAUCAGUAGAAUAUUUAAUUUUUCUGUAGGAAUAAUUAUAGUCUUGAUUAUUAUAUAAAUAUUGUUUCAUCUUAGC